UACGAAGGGGACUAGCGUUGUUCGGAAUUACUGGGCGUAAAGCGCACGUAGGCGGAUUUGUAAGUCAGGGGUGAAAUCCCGGGGCUCAACCUCGGAACUGCCUCUGAUACUGCAAAUCUCGAGUCCGAUAGAGGUGGGUGGAAUUCCUAGUGUAGAGGUGAAAUUCGUAGAUAUUAGGAAGAACACCGGUGGCGAAGGCGGCCCACUGGAUCGGUACUGACGCUGAGGUGCGAAAGCGUGGGGAGCAAACAG
rnacentral:rRNA from 1 species